GUGGGGAAUCUUAGACAAUGGGGGAAACCCUGAUCUAGCCAUGCCGCGUGAGCGAUGAAGGCCUUAGGGUUGUAAAGCUCUUUCAGCUGGGAAGAUAAUGACGGUACCAGCAGAAGAAGCCCCGGCUAACUCCGUGCCAGCAGCCGCGGUAAUACGGAGGGGGCUAGCGUUGUUCGGAAUUACUGGGCGUAAAGCGCGCGUAGGCGGACCAGAAAGUUGGAGGUGAAAUCCCAGGGCUCAACCUUGGAACUGCCUUCAAAACUCCUGGUCUGGAGUUCGAGAGAGGUGAGUGGAAUUCCGAGUGUAGAGGUGAAAUUCGUAGAUAUUCGGAGGAACACCAGUGGCGAAGGCGGCUCACUGGCUCAUUACUGACGCUGAGGCGCGAAAGCGUGGGGAGCAAACAGGAUUAGAAACCCUAGUAGUCC
rnacentral:rRNA from 1 species